CACACGUAUCACCCGGGCACAGAAUAUGCCUUUUGAAACGUCUUCGUUGCUCCGGCGGUCGUUCAGCAUUUUUGUCGUUUGCGUGACGUGGCCGUGGAGUAUGCGAGCGCACUGUCUGGGUCUACCUGGAGGCGCCAAAGCAGCCGUCCGGUUUGACGUAUUCGAAUUGGCCCUGAACGACGGGUUCAGAUGCGCCGACCGAGCGUACGUCAGCCAGUCGAACGGCACUGGAUUUUCUCAAAACGGUCAUGACGUUCCACGUCAACUUCGUGCUGUGCUGUGCAAGGUGAGUGUGAUAGCGGUCAGCUAUCGUUUGACGUACGCCUUUUUGUAAUUUUAAUUUCGUCGUCAACAGCUGAGCGUUGACCUGAUCAAAUGCAAGAAGUAUUACGUGGACUGUGACAACUACAGGAGUUUCGAAUUGGCCGAGUUUUGCGGAAACGAAAAAGCCAUACUGCUCUUCACCGACAUCAGAUACACCACAUGCCCGCUGUUGUGUGCAAUGAAAUAAAUAUAGUUUAAAAAACUAAAAAAACACGCUUUUAAAGCACAU